rnacentral:rRNA from 1 species
CUACGGGCCGCAGCAGUGAGGAAUUUUGCGCAAUGGGGGAAACCCUGACGCAGCAACGCCGCGUGAGUGAUGAAGGCCUUCGGGUCGUAAAGCUCUGUCAAGUGGGAAGAACCUGCACGAAGAUAAUACCUUCGUGUACUGACGGUACCACUGAAGGAAGCACCGGCUAACUCCGUGCCAGCAGCCGCGGUAAUACGGAGGGUGCAAGCGUUAUUCGGAAUUAUUGGGCGUAAAGGGCGCGCAGGCGGUCUUAUAAGUCAGAUGUGAAAGCCCGGGGCUCAACCCCGGAAGUGCAUUUGAUACUGUAGGGCUUGAGUAUGGGAGAGGGAAGUGGAAUUCCUGGUGUAGAGGUGAAAUUCGUAGAUAUCAGGAGGAACACCGGUGGCGAAGGCGACUUCCUGGACCAAUACUGGCGCUGAGGCGCGAAGGCGUGGGGAGCAAACAGGAUUAGAUACCCCUGUAGUC